rnacentral:rRNA from 1 species
AGGAUGAACGCUGGCGGCGUGCCUAACACAUGCAAGUCGAACGUCCUGUCUCGCAAGAGGCAGGGAGUGGCGGACGGGUGAGUACCACGUGGGUCAUCUACCGUGAGGUGAGGAAUACCGGCGAGAAAUCGCCGACAAGACCGCAUAGCCUCGGUGCAAGCCGAGGAAAGCUCUCUCGAGAGAGGGAGCGCCACACGAGGAGCCUGCGCCCGAUUAGCUAGCUGGUGGAGUAACGGUUCACCAGGGCGACGAUCGGUAGCUGGUCUGAGAGGACGAUCAGCCACACUGGGAUUGAGAACGGCCCAGACUCCUACGGGGGGCAGCAGUGAGGAAUUUUCGUCAAUGGGGCAACCCUGAACGAGCAACGCCGCGUGCAGGAAGAAGGUUUUCGGAUCGUAAACUGCUUUUCGUCGGGGAAGAGAACGGACGGUACCCGAGGAAUCAGCCCCGGCUAACUACGUGCCAGCAGCCGCGGU